GCCUGUUUCAGAGUAUAAUAAACGACUAUACGCACGACGCCCAUCGAGCUCUCGACGUCCGAGCACGAACGCACGUAAAUUCGUACUGUCGUUUUUGUUGAUACUCAAGAAUUUUACUACGAACAGUGAAGAACGCUGACUGCUACGCCCUCCUCGUACUGUAUUGGCCUUGUACGCAGUACGUACAACUACGGAUAGAGUCUCGAUGGAAAUGGACUUUGUCAAGGACUUGUCAUCAGGAAGAUCGAGGAGUUUUCACUUUCGGACUGUUUCGCGACUAGACAGAUCGUGCUGGACGAGUGGAGUCUCACGGAAAUUCAAAGAUAAGUCGAGACCGGUCGGCACGUACGUUAGAAUACUCUCGAGACAGUCGUUGUAAUUCGUUAUAAUUCGUUCGAAUUACUCGGGCACCAUGAUAGAAGACAUGAAGGCAAAGAUGCAGCUACUGGGAGUGAAAUUCGCACCGUUGAAUAUUCCCCUCGAAAGAAGACUUCAAACUCUGGCAGCUGCCGCUUGGAUCAUCAUUCCGAUUCUGGGAAGCAUCACCGGCCUUGUCGUCACUAUUUAUCUACUUUUAUUCACACAAAAAAUACGAUACUUCGUUCUAAUCUAUCUGAUAUGGAUAUACUAUGAUAGGGACACUUGCAACAGAGGCGGUAGAGGCGAGAAAUAUACUACGUGGAUGAGAAAUUGCGCCUGGUGGCGAUACUUCUGCGCCUAUUUUCCCCUGAAACUCGUCAAGACCGCCGAUCUGGAUCCUUCGAGAAAUUAUUUAUUUUGUUCUUUCCCUCAUGGAAUUCUAUCAACUGGAGCUUUCGGCGCGUUCGCCACGGAUUGUCUUGGCUUCAAGGAUCUCUUUCCAGGACUGGAACCCAGGAUGCUCACGCUUGACCAACACUUCAAAAUUCCAUUUUUUCGAGAAUUCGUAUAUAGUUUCGGCGCUUGCAGCGCCAGUGCCGAAAGCAUCGACUAUCUAACCGGCGCACCAGGAACCGGCAGAGCCGCAGUACUUGUUGUAGGUGGCGCUUCCGAGUCGCUCAGAUGCAAACCUGGAACUUAUCGCAUCAUUCUGACGCGAAGGAAAGGAUUCGUUCGUAUUGCUCUCAAGAAUGGGACUCCACUGGUUCCUGUCUUUUCCUUCGGGGAAACGGAUCUGUACGACCAAUUUGAUAGUCCUGAAGGAUCCUGGCUGAGAAAAGUUCAGGAAAGUUUAAAAAAGCUUACUGGAGUCGCACCGGUCUUGCUGAUUGGUCGAGGUCUGUUUCAAUAUUCCUUUGGAGUAGUGCCUCUAAGAAAACCUGUCACUGUAGUCGUGGGAUCGCCGAUAGAGCUACCCAAAAUUUCGGAACCCACCAAGGAACAGGUCAACGAGUAUCACGCCAAGUUCGCGGAAAAUUUAAUAAAGUUGUUUGAAGAGUACAAAUACAAGUAUCUGGAAAAUCCCGAGAAAGUUUCUCUCGUUAUCGAAUGAUCGUUUAAAGGCCAAGGAAUUAAUGCUUCAUGAGUAUUUUCCUAAGAAGCUACUGGCUCACGAAUUGUAAAUAUAGAACGAGCGAAUCACGGAGUCGUUAAUUGAAAAUUGUUUUUCUGAAUAAGUUUUCCUUUAUGAAAACCAUUUUUUUGUAAAAACAGAAACAAUUGCAAGGAGACCUGCGCCAGUCAACCAGAGACUUUGACCGAUGAUCUGUAAAAUUAUGUAAAAGUUUACAAGGUUCAUAAUGAAAAAAAAAGAGGACUUUAUUUUUGUAAAAGCUGCUACGGUAUUUCUAUACCUUGUCCUGCCAGGCUCUGUUCUCUAUGCAGUCUCGGAAUGUCAUUCUGGAGAAAUGAACAGUGCUGUACAAAGGAAGCCACGUGUUUGGAAAGAGCCAGUAGAGAACCGUGUCGAAGUACUUUCUCAAAAUGAAUGAUUUCUUCCUGACCAAAUCUCUCAUCUGUAAGGCACGUAAAAUAUAAGUGGUCGGAGAUGCA